UGGGGAAUAUUGGACAAUGGGCGCAAGCCUGAUCCAGCCAUGCCGCGUGAGUGAUGAAGGCCUUAGGGUUGUAAAGCUCUUUUGUCCGGGAAGAUAAUGACUGUACCGGAAGAAUAAGCCCCGGCUAACUUCGUGCCAGCAGCCGCGGUAAUACGAAGGGGGCUAGCGUUGCUCGGAAUCACUGGGCGUAAAGGGCGCGUAGGCGGACUCUUAAGUCGGGGGUGAAAGCCCAGGGCUCAACCCUGGAAUUGCCUUCGAUACUGGGAGUCUUGAGUUCGGAAGAGGUUGGUGGAACUGCGAGUGUAGAAGUGAAAUUCGUAGAUAUUCGCAAGAACACCAGUGGCGAAGGCGGCCAACUGGUCCGAAACUGACGCUGAGGCGCGAAAGCGUGGGGAGCAAACAGG
rnacentral:rRNA from 1 species